CGUAGGAGACCAACAGCAAGAAGAACGAGCCAACCUGAAACUUCUACUAAUAGAAAAUGGAUAAUUGAUUCCCGGUUCCAAUGAAUAGCGAUCGCAUAUCAUCGAUUAUAUGAAUAUUCCGUAGAAACGAAGAAAUUCAAGGUAGGCCUUGAUCGUCCAAACUUUCUCAUAUAUAAUCAAACUCACAUAUAUCAGAUAUAUAUAUAUAUAUAUAUAAAAUGUGUGUGUGUAUGUGUGUCUGUGUAUGUAUAUAUAUAUAUAUAUAUAUGGAACAGGUCGUAAUUUCUCUAAAAUAAUUCCAAUGGAAUUUGAAAUGGGAUGGUAGCUCGGCUUUAAACACAUAUAUAGAUAAACCACAUAACUCCAUUUAUGUAUCUGUGUAUAUGUACAUAUACAUACAUAUAUACAUACAUAUAUGUGUUUAACCAGCCCCGUAAAUUAUCGUCUAUGCGACGUAACUCUUAGUGGAACAUAUCGGAUUUCCUGGUUAGUGGAUUUAACGCACUAGCACCAUACAUAUAUAUAUAUAUAUAUAUAUGCGUGUGUGUGUGUAGAUAUGUGUUGGUGUUACCUCAAUACAUUUCCUAUCCUUCUCAUCGUUUAAUCGCUCUAAGAGAUAAUCCAAAUUUCAUAAUGCAUAUAUAGAUAUACAUUAUAUAUAUAUAUACAUAUAUAUAUAUAUAUAUCUGUAUGCAUGUAACUAUGUGUAUAUAUGGUGAGUAUAAAAAAAGUGGUUUCAGACAGAAAAAGAAAGAAGGAGAAUAAAAAAGAAAAAAAGGAAUUCAAAUCGAUUCUUCAACUGGAUUGGAAAAUGCCUUUAAAGCAAAAAGGUAUCGAGUGCAGCUUGGAGGAAAAAUAUGGAAACGAGGGUUUACGAAGAGAUCAUCAACGUUAAAAAUACGAUUCUCUUUGAAGAAGCAUUUAAUCUUUCAUCGGCAUCAUUAUUUUGAUCUUAGAAGGUGUAUUAACGAUCGUUUUAUAUACAUCGAGGUCGUAGAUGAGCUCUUUGCUGCUUUGUUCCUGCUUUUUAUGACGGUCUUCUAGGCAUUUUAUGACGAUGCCUUAACGAUAAAUGCAAGAGAAUAUAUGAACAUCCGCUUGAGCGUUCGAACAUCUGGUAUACAUGCAUAUGUAAGUAUAUAUAUAUAUAUAUAUGUGUGUGUGUGUGUGUGUAUGUAAGGAGUACGUGCACCUACAUAUAUGUAAAUAUUAACGUAAUAUGUAAAUAUAAAAAAAUAUAUCUAUACAUAAAAAAUAGAUAUACAUAUGCAUAAAAAGUAUACGUUCUAGAUUCUAAACUACGACAAAUAUAAUUUAAAAAGUUGUAUAUUAAUCGUUUAAAGUAUGACAUAGAUCGUGCGUUUACCGAUGGCCUACCCGUAACCAUAAACUCGUCUUUCUUCGAGCUUAAUACUGAAAUACGAGCUAGUUCGGAAUAAAAUGGGUUUGCUAGUAGUUUACUCGAGAAAGUGAGAGAAAGAGAGAGAGAGAGAGAGAGAGAGAGAGAGAGAAAGAGAGAAAGAGAGUAUCGUUCGAAUAGGUAGGUACCAACAUUUUUAUUUUUAAGGUCAAACCGAGGUUCGUAUCGAUCCAAUACUAACCCAGUAAAAUAAUCUUUUCGUACGGCCCAUCCAUUUUUGCAAUUAUAUUUCUAAGAAUAUUUUUUAACGCGAUCUUUUCAAGGAAAAAAAAAAAAAGGAGAAAGAAGAUGAAGAAGAAAACUAAAGAAAAAAGGAAAAAGGAAAGAAAAAUAGAAAAUUUCACGUCAUAAUUUCACAUAGUCAUAUGUAUAUAAGAUAUGUAGAUUUUUCUUUAAAAGUUACUACUGCCCACGCUUAGACAAGCUUUUUAAUUUUGAGAUCAUGCUCACCGACGUGAAAGAAACGUGAACGUCGAGUUGUAAAACUCGUGGUCCAAAUAUACAAAUAGCAAGACAUUUUUUGCUCUGCGGUUGGAGUGCAGCUUACAUAUGAAAAGGCAAAUGCAUAUAUGUACUUACUACGUACACACCUGUGUCAACACGUUCGCAAUAUGAACGAUGACAGAAGAAGACGAUACGAAAUAUUAUAUGUUUACUUCUUAAUUACAAGUUUUGUUUACUCGUUAAACGUUUGUCAUAAUGUCGAUUUUUAAUAAAAUUAUUAUCUUCAGUUUUCUUUUUCCUUUUCUUUUUCUUUUUGUUUUUAUUUUUAUUUUCUUUUUCCUUUUUUUUUUAUUUUUCUUUGUCCUUUUUAUCUUUUUAUCUUUUCGUCAAUUUAACAAUACAAAUUAUCAAUGAUGAUUUUUAAUAAUUCACUGGAAUUAAUAUUCGAUAAAAUCGAUUCGAUAUUAUUUGAAAUAUAUUAAUAUUCGAUAUAUCGAUAAAAUUAAUAUUGCAUAUAUACAGGGGUUCUUUGUAGGUGUUAAAAAGGUAGCCUAUCAUGGAGGCGCCGUUCUUCGAUUAAUUCAAGAUAGAUAUUCUUUUACGCAUACAUGUAUAGGUAUAAUCUAUUUUCAGGGGCAAUUGAAAAAUUUUAUAUUCAUAUUAUUCAUUUGAUAAUAAUAUAAUUAAAAUGAAAAAUAGAUUUCAAACAGUGAUUGACGUACGAUCGAAUUUUUAGAUCUAAUUGAUGAUAAUACGAUAAAAUAAAAUUUGAAAUUACAAUUUAAAUCGAUACGUUAUAUAUUCAAUGAUCGUACUCGAGUUGAAUAGCUACGUUAAAUUUCGAUUACAAUUGUACAAAUUAUAGGAAAUGCCGAGAGUUUUCGUAGCCAAUGGAUUUUAUUCCGAUGUCGCUCAUUAACGCUUGGUCGAGCUUCGAAGUAAUUUAAUUUUCUAAUAACUCCGAGCACGUACGCGCGACUCGCACUAUUGCCUUCUUGCAACUUUCACGGUAACACCGAAUAUAAUGAAUUUUUUUGUUGAUCCAACACUUCGGCCAUCUUCGAUUAAAAUUAGUUUUUAUUACGUGUAUCUAAAGUUGUAAAAUCAAAUUUCUAUUUGCGUUGUAAUUUUAUGAAACGAUUCCAAGCUUAAUUACAUUUUGCUUAUCUCGGGCAAUAAUAACAACGUUCACAGUUUAUACCAGUUGAUUAUAUUAACUGAUAAAAAUAAUUUAACUUGCAUGAAAAUUUUGUCACUAGUAUAGGGAUAACGUCAAACACGUUCCUUGAUAUCUUCUUAACUAAAUCAGAUUAGAUAUUUCUUCAAAAGUGAUGCAUAAAGUUUUAUCAUACUUUAACACGACGAUCGUGUUCGGUCACUCGAUAAAAUUAUACUUAGACGAAACUUUUAAUCAACCUAUUAAAUAGAAUAUCAUCAGCGAGAGAAAUUAAAUCUAAUGAUAUUUCAAAUAGAUAUUUAUCAUUCAAAGCGUUGUAUUAAGAUAAACGAUUGUCAAAUUAUUAUAUAUAAUAUUUUUUCAUCGAAUAAUCCUAACGCAAACAAUCCUACGAUUUUUUUGCCUGUCAUAUACGUAUAUAGGAUAGAUCGUUUGAGACCCGUCGGAGCUUGUCAGAAGUUAUAAUUUAAAAAAAAAAAAAAAAAGAAGCAGAAGAAAAAGAAGAAAAAGAAAAAACGUAAAAAAAAGAAUUAACGGUGGGGGGGGGGAGGAAAUAGGAGAAAAGAAAAAAGAAAAAAAAAAAGAAAAAGAAGGAAAAAAAACGCAGAACAAAGUAAUGAAAUCAGAGGUCAUAGUACAUCAUAGCGACCGUUUGACGUUGAGUUAGCGAACGAUGACGAUGCUAGAUUGAAGUGGAUAGAAAAAAAUUUGUGAUAUAAACGAGAACCAAACUGAUAUAUAUUUUUCGUUCGGUCGUUCGCUCGCUCGCUCGUUCGCUCGUACAAUAUUACUUUGUCGACUAUGACGAGAAGGAAACUGUCGCGAUAAUCCGACGAGGGAAAAAUAUUCGUUGAUUCCACUUCGCUCGAGGGACUUUGAUCUCUCGAAAAGGAUUUUCUUGGAUCUCGUGUUCCCAUUCCUUUUUCUUUCUAGUUUAAGGACAACAGUACGUUGUCACUUUUUGAAGGAUUAUCGAGUUGAACGCUUAUCACGUUAAACACGCCGUCUGACGAAAUCCAAUUCAAUCUGACAUAAAAUAAUAUAAAGAUUUUAAGGAAAUAUUAAACAUAAACAAAUAUUUUUAUCAAUUUCCUUUCACUUCGUAAGAUUGAUUUACGUGAUAUAUUAAGGGGGAAAAAAAAGAACAAAAAAAAAGAAACAAACAAAAGAAAAAUAGAAAGGUAAUAACCCGAUUAAAAAUCAUUCAUUAAAAUUACAAACGUCAUUAAUAAUAAAUAACUUAGUCUUUAUUCCAUAAUUGACAAAAUGCAGAAAUUUAUUUACGAUGUGUUUUCAUUAUUUUAUGAUUUCAUAAUUAGGAGAAUUCGCAUACAAGCGUAUAUUUCGUAUUUUUAAUCAUUUUAUUGAAUAAUAUGAGAAACGUCUGUCGCAAACGAAACAUCAUAAACGUGUAUCGUAUCUUCCAAUGCAGCUGACAACCAAAACUCGAGAGAGAAAAACAGAGUAGAGAGAGAGAGAGAGAGAGAGAGAAAGAGAGAGAGUUGGUAAUUAAAAUCGUAUUGCUUUAGACGAAAAAUCGAUAUCGACGUGAACUUUAAAAACCAAGAGGAGAAAAGAGAAAAAAAAAAAAAAAAAAAAAAAAAAAAAAAAAAAAAGAAAAAAAAAGGGGG